rnacentral:lncRNA from 1 species
AUCAUUUGCCUGCCUUGAAACAUUAUUUACAACUCUUUGUGAAAUUGUUAGAAUUAGAUUUUUUUUCUUCUUACAGGACCAAUUUUCAAAUAGCCAUUUAUGGAUUCUAGUGCAGAUUAACCUAGCACUUAGUGGUAGGCAUAGUUAGUUUUGCAUCCCUCCUUGCCUUUUCUUUGUGCUCUUGCAAACACAUUCUUGCUAGAUACAAUGCCUAGGUUGAACAUUGUUU